GAUGAACGCUGGCGGCGUGCCUAAUACAUGCAAGUCGAGCGAACGGACGAGAAGCUUGCUUCUCUGAUGUUAGCGGCGGACGGGUAAGUAACACGUGGAUAACCUACCUCUAAGACUGGGAUAACUUCGGGAAACCGGAGCUAAUACCGGAUAAUAUUUUGAACCGCAUGGUUCAAAAGUGAAAGACGGUCUUGCUGUCACUUAUAGAUGGAUCCGCGCUGCAUUAGCUAGUUGGUAAGGUAACGGCUUACCAAGGCAACGAUGCGUAGCCGACCUGAGAGGGUGAUCGGCCACACUGGAACUGAGACACGGUCCAGACUCCUACGGGAGGCAGCAGUAGGGAAUCUUCCGCAAUGGGCGAAAGCCUGACGGAGCAAUGCCGCGUGAGUGAUGAAGGUCUUCGGAUCGUAAAACUCUGUUAUUAGGGAAGAACAUAUGUGUAAGUAACUGUGCACAUCUUGACGGUACCUAAUCAGUAAGCCACGGCUAACUUCGUG
rnacentral:rRNA from 1 species